UGGUAUCACACGGUGGUGAGGUAAUGG
rnacentral:piRNA from 1 species